UCCGGUUUGGCACCGACAGUCUCCCCAGAGUUCCCGGCUUUACCCGCUGGCAACUGAGGACAGGGGUUGCGCUCGUUGCGCCACUUAAGGCAACACCUCGCGGCACGAGCUGACGACAGCCAUGCAGCACCUGUGCGGGCUCCCGAAGGAGGACCGUGUUUCCACGGCUUCACCCCGCAUGUCAAGCCCUGGUAAGAUUCUUCGCGUUGCGUCGAAUUAAGCCACAUGCUCCGCCGCUUGUGCGGGCCCCCGUCAAUUCCUUUGAGUUUUAGCCUUGCGGCCGUACUCCCCAGGCGGAUAACUUAAUGCGUUAGCUGCGCCACCAAAGCUCUAUGAGCCCUGACAGCUAGUUAUCAUCGUUUACGGCGUGGACUAC
rnacentral:misc_RNA from 1 species